rnacentral:hammerhead_ribozyme from 1 species
AUCCAGAUGAUCAGUCCCAAAUAGGACGAAAUGAGCAUCCUGUAU